rnacentral:rRNA from 1 species
GACGGAGGAUGCAAGUGUUAUCCGGAAUCACUGGGCGUAAAGCGUCUGUAGGUGGUUUAAUAAGUCAACUGUUAAAUCUUGAGGCUCAACUUCAAAAUCGCAGUCGAAACUAUUAGACUAGAGUAUAGUAGGGGUAAAGGGAAUUUCCAGUGGAGCGAUGAAAUGCGUAGAGAUUGGAAAGAACACCAAUGGCGAAAGCACUUUACUGGGCUAUCACUGACACUGAGAGGCGAAAGCUAGGGUAGCAAAUGGG